AUGUAUGUAUGUGCAUCUCACACAAGUAGGAAAACAUCUUUUUGCACACAGACUCACAAACCUCAUCAGGUGCACUUUAAACUAGAUCCACUGGGGGAGGGGAACAACAGCCUGGCGAACACUAUAUUACCCACGACCACAGGGAACCGCCAAAAGGCUAAACGGAGGGCUGCACAAACACAGCAAGGACCAAGUACAGAGAGCACAAUAAUCCCAAAUAAACAGUUCGAGGGGAGGUCACAGGGGCUUACAUGUCUUUACACUAAUGCUCAGAGCAUGGGAAAUAAGCAAGACGAACUCCAACUCCUAGCACAGCACCACACAUACGAUGUCAUAGGCAUCACUGAAACCUGGUGGGAUGACUCCCAUCACUGGAAUUUAACCAUUGAGGGCUAUAACCUCUUUCACAGAAAUAGAACAAAGGGGAGAGGAGGGGGGGUAGCUUUAUAUGUCAAAAACAGUUACGUUGCAGAAGAAAUGCAAGACUGUAAUCCGGGAAACCAGCUUGAAAGCAUCUGGAUAAGAAUCAAGGGAACCGGGACUCAAAAAGAUCUUGUCGUGGGUGUCUACUACAGACCUCCGAGUCAGGAUGAAGGACUUGAUGAAGCCUUCUGUCAACAGCUGACCAAACAGGCACAAAGAAGAGAUAUAGUAGUCAUGGGCGAUUUCAAUUAUCCCGAUAUCUGCUGGAAAACAAACUCAGCCAAGAGUACAAAGUCCAACAAAUUCCUCACUUGCCUUGCAGAUAAUUUUAUGGUCCAGAAGGUAGAAGAGGCAACAAGGGGAUCAGCAACUCUUGAUCUAAUCUUAACAAAUGUGGAAGACCUGAUCAAUACAGUUGAAGUGGUUGGAUCCUUAGGGGCAAGUGACCAUGUGCUCCUGCAGUUUGCAAUACAAAGGAAUGCUGAAACUAAGACAAGUCAAACACGCUUUCUGGACUUUAAGAGAGCUGACUUCCAAAAAAUGAAGGAAUUACUGAGCGGCAUUCCAUGGACGCCGAUAUUAAAAAACAAGGGAGUUAAGGAUGGAUGGGAGUUUUUCAAAAGUGAAAUACUCAAGGCGCAAAUGCAAACAGUGCCAACAAAGAAGAAAAAUAAGACAAGUGCAAAGAAGCCAGAAUGGAUGUCCAAAGAACUUCUAACUGAGCUAAAGCUCAAAAGUGACAUGCACAAGAAGUGGAAAAGGGGAGAAAUCACCAAAGAAGAAUUCAAACGUAUAGCCAACACCUGUAGGGAAAAGGUUUGCAAGGCUAAAGCGCAAAAUGAGCUCAGGCUUGCCAGGGACAUAAAAAACAACAAAAAAGGCUUUUUUGCUUACGUUGGUAGAAAAAGGAAGAAAAAGGAGGCGAUAGGGCCAUUGCAAGGAGAAGAUGGGGUGAUGGCGACAGGGGACAGGGAAAAGGCAGGACUACUUAAUGCUUUCUUUGCCUCGGUCUUCUCACAAAAAGAAAGCCAUCUUCAACCUCAGCAAUAUGGAAUGGACGAAGGAUUGGGGGAAAUCCAACCCCAAAUAGGGAAACAAGUUGUCCAGGAACACCUGGCCACUCUAAACGAAUUCAAGUCCCCAGGGCCAGACCAGCUACAUCCAAGAGUACUGAAGGAACUAGCGGAAGUUAUUUCAGAACCACUGGCAAUUAUCUUCGAGAGUUCUUGGAGAACGGGAGAAGUCCCAGCAGAUUGGAGGAGGGCGAAUGUGGUCCCUAUCUUCAAGAAGGGAAAAAAGAACGACCCAAACAAUUACCGUCCGGUCAGCCUCACAUCAUGUGAUGACUCAUGGGCCAUGUAG
ensembl:lncRNA